UACGAAGGGGGCUAGCGUUGUUCGGAAUCACUGGGCGUAAAGGGCGCGUAGGCGGCUUUAUAAGUCGGGGGUGAAAGCCUGUGGCUCAACCACAGAAUUGCCUUCGAUACUGUAGAGCUUGAGACCGGAAGAGGUAAGUGGAACUGCGAGUGUAGAGGUGAAAUUCGUAGAUAUUCGCAAGAACACCAGUGGCGAAGGCGGCUUACUGGUCCGGUUCGUGACGCUGAGGCGCGAAAGCGUGGGGAGCAAACAGG
rnacentral:rRNA from 1 species